AGAGUUUGAUCCUGGCUCAGAAUGAACGUUGGCGGCGUGGAUUAGGCAUGCAAGUCGAACGAGUCUCUGGGGGGUAACUCUCAGAGAAAAGUGGCGAGAGGGGCAGUAAUGCAUGGGUAACCUACCUUAAGGUUCGGGAUAGCCAUUCUAACGGAUGGGUAACACUGGACGGUCUGAGUUGUCGGCAUCGAUAGCUCAGUAAAUGUGAAGCCUUAUGAGGGGCCCAUGUGAUAUUAGCUAGUUGGUGAGGUAAUGGCUCACCAAGGCGAAGAUGUCUAGCGGGUGUGAGAGCAUGACCCGCGUCACUGGCACUGAGACACUGGCCAGACUCCUACGGGAGGCUGCAGUCGAGGAUCUUCGGCAAUGGACGCAAGUCUGACCGAGCGACGCCGCGUGUGCGAUGAAGGCCUUCGGGUUGUAAAGCACUGUCGAGAGGGAACAAGCCGCAAGGUUGAGUGACCUCUGGAGGAAGGACGGGCUAAGUUCGUGCCAGCAGCCGCGGUAAGACGAACCGUCCAAACGUUAUUCGGAAUCACUGGGCUUAAAGGGCGCGUAGGCGGGCGAUCAAGUCAGGGGUGAAAUCCUCCAGCUCAACUGGAGAAGUGCCUUUGAUACUGGUUGUCUAGAGUGAGGUAGGGGCAUGUGGAACUUCCAGUGGAGCGGUGAAAUGCGUAGAUAUUGGAAGGAACACCAGUGGCGAAAGCGAUGUGCUGGAUCUCAACUGACGCUGAGGCGCGAAAGCUAGGGGAUCAAACGGGAUUAGAUACCCCGGUAGUCCUAGCCCUAAACUUUGGGUACUAGAUUGUGGACUGACAUGGGUUCACAGUCGAAGCAAAAGUGUUAAGUACCCCGCCUGGGGAGUAUGGUCGCAAGGCUGAAACUCAAAGGAAUUGACGG
rnacentral:rRNA from 1 species